rnacentral:rRNA from 1 species
UACGUAGGUGGCGAGCGUUGUCCGGAUUUACUGGGCGUAAAGGGAGCGUAGGCGGACUUUUAAGUGAGAUGUGAAAUACCCGGGCUCAACUUGGGUGCUGCAUUUCAAACUGGAAGUCUAGAGUGCAGGAGAGGAGAAUGGAAUUCCUAGUGUAGCGGUGAAAUGCGUAGAUAUUAGGAGGAACACCAGUAGCGAAGGCGGCUCUCUGGACUGUAACUGACGCUGAGGCACGAAAGCGUGGGGAGCAAACAGGAUUAGAUACCCCCGUAGU